CUCCCGCUGCCGAGGAUUUGACGCGAACUCCUGGCAGAUCAGAAAUGUUCAGGCGAACGGCGGUUAUAUUUGUCCGUGGACCCAAGACUUCGUUGACGGGCAAAUAUGGAACGCUGCAACAAGGACUGGUGUGGAUAGCGUGUUGCGCUGGUCUCGCCAACUGAAAAAAAUUCUGGUAAGACGCAUGCUUGGUUACAAAAGUCUCACGCAAUCGCUUUUCACAUUGAAUUUGGUCGCAGGUGUGCUGUAAAUGCCGACUGCACAAUAUGUGACUGGCCCGCGGCCGCUUUGAAGUCUUUCCCGACAGAAGAACAAUGCAAGUCUCACAUCUCGAUGAGGGUGGCGAUUUACCGUCUCACAUCUCGACGGUAAAACGUCGCAUCUGCGUACGUGUUCAGGGCCAAGAGCACGAGAACUGGCCGAAAGAAGGGAGCCGAUCCAACAAGAAUGCCGUCCGUCUUAUAUAUAUGUCAGCGCUAUCAUGCAGCGAUCACAUGGACUGUAUGGUUGCGUUGCACAAGGGCUGAUGCAAACGCUCCGUGCGAACAAUGUUGCAUGUAAAAUUAGUGCGCCUAUACAAUUGCAAAAUAAACAUCUAAAG